rnacentral:sRNA from 1 species
UUCAGAAGCAAGAAGAGGCUUAGUUAGUGUUUUAGAGUCAAAUAUGACUUGAUGUCAUGUGUAUGAUUGCGUAUAAGAACUAUGAUAA